rnacentral:lncRNA from 1 species
CGCAAAUUGUAAGGCAACCCAGGUGCUUUGGAUAAGUAAUUGAGCAGUCCUUUUAAGGCCAAAGACAAAAGAAGAACUGAAGGUAACCCAGUGCUAUGGAUAAAAAAACAGUUCAUAUAAUAUAAUACUCCUGUUGAAAUAUAUGAUAAAGCGUAUAAAACAUGGCAAAAUCUGUAUCACAUGCCCUCGACCAAUAUCAUCCCUCAGGC